rnacentral:lncRNA from 1 species
GUGGGAGGGUCUGCCAAAGCUUGCCUUAGACACCAUCAGAAAUGGCCAGGUAAACGGGCUUCCAAUUAAAAACCACCAGUCUGGUUUACCUUAGACACCAACUGGUUCAAUUAGUUUCGAUUAGAUCAACCUAACAGUUCAUGCUAGACCGCUUAGCCAAGAAUCAAGUCCAUUUGGUUCUCGUUAAAGACAUGGACUUGACCAACUACAACUAUUGUAAUUGAUCUAGAGAAUCUAAGACAACAAUGGAUUAGAUUUAGUCAAUUCUCUAAUUAAGUCCAUCUUUAAUCUAACCAUAGGUCUAACCCAAUUAAUGGACCUAAUUCCCACUAACCCAUUAAACCAAUGUGUUAUAGUUUGUAUCUUAGGUUCUUCAAUUCAUAAUCCUAGAACCUAAUCAAACAACUUCUUAAUUCUUAAUUAAGUUUUGGACUGAGGGUUGGGUUCGGCUUUUCAAAAAAUAAUUUUCAUAUUUGUAAAAUAAUUUUACAAUAUGAUUCUACCAACCAUAUUGCAUGUUUGAUUCAUAAUCAAGAUACAAGUGAAAUAAACAUGAAACUACUUUAGAUCUAAUCUAAACAGGUUCAUGUAAUUAAAAUAAUUUCAACUUUAAACAAUUUCUUUACACAAAAAUUAUUAACAAAGAGAUUUUAUUUCAGAUUUAAAUACCUUUUAAAUCUAAUAAAUUAUAAAUUUAAUCUAGAUCAUAUCUAGAAAAUUUAUGAUUAAAGAUAGAUCUAUACAAACUAGGACAACCUUUGCACUGUAAGGGGUAAACCUCAUAGCAGGACAACCUUGCAGUUCGUGAUUGAUCUAAAAUUUUAAUUUUAGAUUUAAUAAUCAGAUUCUAAAUUAGAUCAAAUCUAAAAAAUAAUCUAAGUAUGUAUAAAUAAUCAUGUAAUAAAGAACCUAGGCUCUGAUACCAAUUGUAGG